UACGUAGGGGGCUAGCGUUGUCCGGAAUCAUUGGGCGUAAGCGCGUGUAGGCGGCCCGGUAAGUCCGCUGUGAAAGUCCAGGGCUCAACCCUGGGAUGCCGGUGGAUACUGUCGGGCUCGAGUCCGGAAGAGGCGAGUGGAAUUCCUGGUGUAGCGGUGAAAUGCGCAGAUAUCAGGAGGAACACCAAUGGCGAAGGCAGCUCGCUGGGACGUGACUGACGCUGAGACGCGAAAGCGUGGGGAGCAAACAGG
rnacentral:rRNA from 1 species